AAUUUUGGACAAUGGGCGCAAGCCUGAUCCAGCCAUCCCGCGUGAGUGAAGAAGGCCUUCGGGUUGUAAAGCUCUUUCGGACGGAAAGAAAUCGCGCAGGUGAAUAAUCUGUGUGGAUGACGGUACCGUAAGAAGAAGCACCGGCUAACUACGUGCCAGCAGCCGCGGUAAUACGUAGGGUGCGAGCGUUAAUCGGAAUUACUGGGCGUAAAGCGUGCGCAGGCGGUUUUGUAAGACAGGUGUGAAAUCCCCGGGCUUAACCUGGGAAUGGCGCUUGUGACUGCAAGACUCGAGUGCGGCAGAGGGGGGUGGAAUUCCACGUGUAGCAGUGAAAUGCGUAGAGAUGUGGAGGAACACCGAUGGCGAAGGCAGCCCCCUGGGUCGACACUGACGCUCAUGCACGAAAGCGUGGGGAGCAAACAGGAUUAGAUACCCUGGUAGUCCACGCCCUAAACGAUGCCAACUAGGUGUUGGGGAAGGAGACUUCCUUAGUACCGAAGCUAACGCG
rnacentral:rRNA from 1 species